AUGAUACCCCUUUCUUCUUUAUGUAACCGGACACACCUUUCCUGCCCCAUAGUCCCUGCAUUGGUCUCAUUUAUCCAUUUAUCUGACCAUAGUGUAUUUAAUUCGUGCUACUAUGUGCCAGGCACUGUGCUGGGGACUGGGGAAACAAAGAUAAGCAGUGAAUGGCCCUCUCAGUGUCCGAAGGGCCACCCUGGCGAUCCACAGCUAAUCUAUGACAACUGGAUCACUUUGUCCUUCACCACGGCAGGGGCCUGAGGAAAGAAUAGACCCUGGGAACAAUGGUAUCACUGUAAUGGGUCCCACAGAGAAAAAGUGGGUUGGAGAAGAAUACUGGAAAUGCCGUGUGACAAGCUUCAGUACGUGAUUGUUUACAUAUUAUUAUUGCCUGACCUAUAAGCAUACCUGGCUCUUCCCACCUUUACCUCUCAUGGACUGAUCUAGUUUUUUUUUUUUUUUUUUUUUUUUUUUUUUUAUUUUUUCUCAAUCUGUGGAUCUAAAGUUCACUUUUUGCCUGCUUAUGACCUUGGCCCUUCAGACAUUGACUCUCAUCUCC
rnacentral:lncRNA from 1 species